ensembl:snoRNA snoRNA:U29:54Ec snoRNA:U29:54Ec
UUUGUAUGAUGAAACAUUUACCCAGCUCGCUUUGAUUUCUAUGAAGAAAACUGUUCCAUAUCCAACGCAAAAAAUUAUCUUGCUGACU